UUUUUUUUACGAGAUGGCUUGUGAUGCAUUAUAAGGGUAAAGUGCUGGCAGAUGAAAAUACAUAUUAAAGUUUAUAAAAAGUUAGAAGCACCCAUUACUUAAAACACACAAUCAUAAAAGCUGUAUAUGAUAUAAAUAAUAUAAACAAAUAUAUAGCACUGAUAUUGGAUGUUUUUAUUUCACUCAUAUUGAAAAAGUUUAUAUAAAAAAAAAAGGUGAAGAAGAUAUUUUUGUGUUUAAUGGUAGCUAAGGAUGUCUGAUGUAUAAUAUUUACAUAACAGCUGAUUUUUUUUUUAUAGGAAUGUCAUGCAACAAAUUCUGUUCUUCUCUAAACAGCAACAAUACAGUUAUACAUACAGCAGAAUUUUGGCAUGUGAAUUCUGAAAUCCUAAAGGCAUUUUUUAAUCUCAGAGAACUCAAUUAAACAUAAUGGCCCAUUACUUAUUGUUUUUUACACAUUAUGGCAUUGUUAUUACUUCAAACCUGUUCCACGAACUGUGUACAGUACUUGUUCUCUCCCCCCC